UACGGAGGAUCCAAGCGUUAUCCGGAAUCAUUGGGUUUAAAGGGUCCGUAGGCGGUUUAGUAAGUCAGUGGUGAAAGCCCAUCGCUCAACGGUGGAACGGCCAUUGAUACUGCUGAACUUGAAUUAUUAGGAAGUAACUAGAAUAUGUAGUGUAGCGGUGAAAUGCUUAGAGAUUACAUGGAAUACCAAUUGCGAAGGCAGGUUACUACUAAUGGAUUGACGCUGAUGGACGAAAGCGUGGGGAUCAAACAGG
rnacentral:rRNA from 1 species